UGAGCAAUCUGCCCUUCUCAUCGGAAUAAGCGUUGGAAACGACAUCUAAUGCCGAAUACGACCUCCUUUCGCGUGAUCGGAGGUGGAAAGCUCCGGCGGAGAAGGACGAGCUCGCGGCCUAUCAGCUAGUUGGUGUGGGUAAUGGCCCACCAAGGCGACGACGGGUAGCCGGCCUGAGAGGGGUGACCCGGCCACACGUGGGACUGAGACACGGCCCAGACCUCCGUACGGGAGGNAG
rnacentral:rRNA from 1 species